GGGCUUCUUCCGUGUACUUGUUCCAGGAUGGGACUGCGACCGAUCAGGCUGUUGGCGAGGUAAUGGCUCACCAAACCAGUAACCGGUACGGGCCUUGAGAGAGGGGGCCCGGAGAUGGACACUGAGAGAAGGGUCCAGGUCCUACGGGGCGCAGCAGGCGCGAAACCUUCGCAAUGCGCGAAAGCGUGACGAGGUUAAUCCGAGUGGUCCCCGCUGAGGGGAUCUUUUGUCGGCUGUAAAAAGGCCGGUGAAUAAGGGGAGGGCAAGUCUGGUGUCAGCCGCCGCGGUAAUACCAGCUCCUCGAGUGGUCGGGGCGAUUAUUGGGCCUAAAGCAUCCGUAGCCGGUUCCGUAGGUCUUCUGUCAAAUCCAACGGCUCAACCGUUGGCCCGCAGAAGAUACCGCGGGACUAGGAGGCGGGAGAGGUGGGCGGUACUCCACGUGUAGGGGUAAAAUCCUUUGAUCCGUGGAAGA
rnacentral:rRNA from 1 species